AACCAUUCACCGAGUAUAAAAGCACACCAUUUGCACAUUAUCCACACACCAUCGACCUGCGCCCCAGAAGUAUUGUUACCGAGAAGUUUUCGUCUUCACAAUGAAACUUGUUACCGCUAUUAUUUUGUUGACUGCUGUUGUCUGUGUUAAUACCCAUGGACCCCACGACAAGAUGGAACAAAUGUUAUGUGAUAGUGGAGACCCGAAUAUCAAGAACGCUUUGAAAUUUUGCUGGAGGUUGGAGCCUGCAGAGUACAAAAGCAUAUUCAAUAAAUGCCGAAAGGACCUGGAUGCUGAGACCGACGAAACACUAUGUGCUAAGUGGGAUGAGGUAAGUAGAUAGUUAA